AAUUAAUAUCUGUUUGAAUGGUUACUCUAUUGAUUCUGAGUUAUUUUAAAAUGUUUCCCUUUUUAUCACCACAAUUGUGUCCAUUGUAUACAAAAGUGUUACUUCUGUUUUUUUUCACAACUUAUUCUAUUUCAAGAGCAAUUUUUAGUUUAUUGAAUGUAAAAUGGAGGGAUCUAAUUUUUGUUUACCAAGUUAAAUCACGUCACAAGUUGGAGACCAAAUCAACAUUUAAAUGUUCAUUUUAAAUUAGAUUAGUUUGGUAGACUUGCGUUUAAGCCACAGUCAACAAAAGCCAAAGCUUGAUUUAAGGAAGGACUAACAGGACAUUUACUGCUGCUCAUCCAAUGACAGUUGCUAUUGUCUUGAUGGAAGCUCAUGGGAGUGAAGGAGUAUCACAAAACCAAGGUCAUUAUCGAUCAGAACCAUGGAAUAAGAGAAAAGGGUUUACUAAAGAUGAUGGAGGUUAAGCCUCAAAACUCAAGUUCUUGAACAUGAUACAUCACCAUUUCUAACUUCUGAUUGAUGCUUGGAAUCAGAUAAGACGAUCUUAUUGUGAGCUAUUUUCAGCCUGUCAAUGUUUACCAUCUAUUUUGAAUCUCAUUGUUCAAUAUGUGUUACGUGGAUUAUCUGGUCGCCUGACAGUUGAAAUUUUUCCUUCCUCUUCUCAACACCAGUGUCAUAAUGACAAAUUAUUCUAGGCUGAUACACAAUGAAUCAUCCUUUACCCAUACCGAACCAGCUCUCAACCCAUUCUGGUGAACAAGAUACACUUCUCUUUUUUAGGCAAACAAAAAAAGUCAACCAGCUUUACUCGGUUUACUUUUCACCUUACUGAAUAAGGCUUACUCUGAAUCAUUACAUAGAGUCAUCAUUACAUGGAGUGAAACCUUUUAUAGUUGAUUGACUGCUGUAAAAUUGUCAUUCCCAUCUUUGUUAUUGAAAUAAAUUUGUUGAUAAAACAAUGAGACUGAUUUUACCAUUUGGAUGAACAUCCUUAUCCAAUGAGUUGGGAAGCUUCUGUAGCUGGAAAUUGACGGUCCAUUCAAGUCUCGAUUUAUGUAUUGGUCAAUGAAUAUUAAAAUUGGAGUGAAAUACUUCCUACCAACAAUAAUCUGUCCAAUCAUAAAUAUUAUCAUCUAUUUAUUUUUAUUCAUGCUGGAUCAACAAUGUUACAGAACAUUUAACAGCAUCUUCUGUAACAACAUAAUCAUUAUCAUGGCCAUUAUUGUUACAGCCAUUGCUAUUAAUAUUUGACCUUCCUUCGUUUAAAUUAUACCAACAAUUUAAUCAACUUAGGAUGUUUCAACAGUUUUUAUGGAUUUUACCAGCUCUUCCGACAUUGUCUAUCUUGCUUUGUUUUGCCUGUUACUAAAAAAGCUAUCACCAUCAAAGACACAGUUUGCAUCAACUUGGAUUGAGAUGGAACAAGGAAACAAUAUUAUAAUAAUUUACGUCAACUAUUAAUAGAAAUGUCAAUGUAAUUGAUUUGAAUCAAUGUUUGUUCGUUGCAAAUCAUUCAAUUUGACUCAUGGAUUUUCACCAAAAACAAGAUCAAAAUGAAUUGCUAAAAGCUAUGUUGAUUGCAAGCAUUGAAACUCCGGUUUUGGUCAACAUCCAACUCUUUGAAUUGAAGCAAUCAUCUAAUCGUUGCUAACAGUUUGGAUUUUGAAUCAACAAUUUAAUACAAUUUGCCUGCAGAUGUACAAUAAUUAGUCUAAAAACUGAAGCUUCAGAUUGUUUACGUUGUAAGAUUGUCUCUUCAACUCAUUCAAAUUUCAUCAAUUCAUCUAAAUAUAUUAUUAUGUAAAGCUAAAGUUGCUGAAAAUGUAUUAAAUUGCUGUCUAAUAUUUUAUUAA